rnacentral:rRNA from 1 species
GCAGCCGCGGUAAUACGUAGGGGGCAAGCGUUAUCCGGAUUUACUGGGUGUAAAGGGAGCGUAGGCGGCGGAGCAAGUCAGAUGUGAAAGCCCGGGGCUCAACCCCGGGACUGCAUUUGAAACUGUUCUGCUAGAGUAUCGGAGAGGUAAGUGGAAUUCCUAGUGUAGCGGUGAAAUGCGUAGAUAUUAGGAGGAACACCAGUGGCGAAGGCGGCUUACUGGACGAUAACUGACGCUGAGGCUCGAAAGCGUGGGGAGCAAACAGGAUUAGAUACCCC